UGGUGGUGUUUAAAAGAAAAUUACCCUAAGAGCACAGAGAGGAUGUUGUGAUGAAACUCUCCAAGUGAAGGUGGUGAAUUUGCCAUGUUGAUGAUGACUUAGACAAAGUCAUCCUUCUGGUAAGAAGCAGAGCCAUCAUCUCGAUCCUCAGUGCAGCUUGGCAGGGAGAAGUUCCAUGUCACAUAGUGCACAAGUGAGCUGAUACUGCAGCAGCACUCCUGGGAGAAGCUGCCACUUUGGUUCCAAAGUAUGGGUGCAGUAAGUAUUAUUCUUUUUUGCUUAAAGAGAUGACAGUGUUUUAAAUAAUAAAACAACAAUGCAAAGACUAGAGGGAAGAGCU
rnacentral:lncRNA from 1 species